AGCAGCCGCGGUAAUUCCAGCUCCAAUAGCGUAUAUUAAAGUUGUUGCAGUUAAAAAGCUCGUAGUUGAAUUUCGAGACCGGCUUACUGGUCGUGCUAUUGUACGUACUGGUAUAAUCGGUUUCUCCUUUCUGACGAACUAUAAUGCCAUUAAUUUGGUGUUUUAGGGAAUCAGGACUGUUACUUUGAAAAAAUUAGAGUGUUUAAAGCAGGCUCACGCUUGAAUACAUUAGCAUGGAAUACGGAAUAGGACGUUUGAUUCUAUUUUGUGGUUUCUAGGAUCGACGUAAUGAUUAAUAGGGAUAGUUGGGGGCAUUAGUAUUCAAUUGUCAGAGGUGAAAUUCUUGGAUUUAUUGAAGACUAACUACUGCGAAAGCAUUUGCCAAGGAUGUUUUCAUUAAUCAAGAACGAAAGUUAGGGAUCGAAGACGAUCAGAUACCGUCGUAGUCUU
rnacentral:rRNA from 1 species